AUUGAACGCUGGCGGCAGGCCUAACACAUGCAAGUCGAACGGUAACAGGAAACAGCUUGCUGUUUCGCUGACGAGUGGCGGACGGGUGAGUAAUGUCUGGGAAGCUGCCUGAUGGAGGGGGAUAACUACUGGAAACGGUAGCUAAUACCGCAUAACGUCGCAAGACCAAAGAGGGGGACCUUCGGGCCUCUUGCCAUCGGAUGUGCCCAGAUGGGAUUAGCUAGUAGGUGGGGUAACGGCUCACCUAGGCGACGAUCCCUAGCUGGUCUGAGAGGAUGACCAGCCACACUGGAACUGAGACACGGUCCAGACUCCUACGGGAGGCAGCAGUGGGGAAUAUUGCACAAUGGGCGCAAGCCUGAUGCAGCCAUGCCGCGUGUAUGAAGAAGGCCUUCGGGUUGUAAAGUACUUUCAGCGGGGAGGAAGGGAGUAAAGUUAAUACCUUUACUCAUUGACGUUACCCGCAGAAGAAGCACCGGCUAACUCCGUG
rnacentral:rRNA from 1 species